AUUGAACGCUGGCGGCAGGCCUAACACAUGCAAGUCGGGCGAGCGGCGGACGGGUGAGUAAUGUAUGGGGAUCUGCCUGAUGCAGGGGGAUAACUACUGGAAACGUUAGCUACUACCGCAUACCCUCAGAUGAACCCAUAUGGGAUUAGCUUGUAGGUGUGGUAACGUCUCACCUAGGCAACGCUCACUAGCCGGUCUGAGAGGAUGAUAGGCCACACUGGGAUGGAGACACGGCCCAGACCCCUACGGAAGGCGACAGGGGGUAAGAUUGGACAAGGGGGGAAAGCCUGAUGCGGACAUGCCGCUUGUAGGAAGAAGGCCUUCGGGUUGUAAAGUACUUUCAGUCGGGAGGCGUUACCGACAGAGGAAGCACCGGCUAACUCCGUGCCAGCAGCCGCGGUAAUUC
rnacentral:rRNA from 1 species